rnacentral:rRNA from 1 species
UUGGAGGGCAAGUCUGGUGCCAGCAGCCGCGGUAAUUCCAGCUCCAAUAGCGUAUAUUAAAGUUGUUGCAGUUAAAAAGCUCGUAGUUGAAUUUCGGGGUCAGCAGGUUGGUCGUGCCACUGGUAUGCACUGGCUUCGCUGAUUCCUCCUUCUUGAAGAACUGUAAUGUCAUUAAUUUGGUGUUGCAGGGAAACAGGACUGUUACUUUGAAAAAAUUAGAGUGUUUAAAGCAGGCUAACGCUUGAAUACAUUAGCAUGGAAUAAUGAAAUAGGACGUUCGAUCCUAUUUUGUUGGUUUCUAGGAUUGACGUAAUGAUUAAUAGGGAUAGUUGGGGGCAUUAGUAUUCAAUUGUCAGAGGUGAAAUUCUUGGAUUUAUUGAAGACUAACUACUGCGGAAGCAUUUGCCAAGGAUGUUUUCAUUAAUCAAGAACGAAAGUUAGGGGAUCGAAGACGAUCAGAUACCGUCGUAGUCUUAACCAUAAACUAUGCCGACUAGGGAUCGGAUGAUGUUAAUUUUUUAAUGACUCAUUCGGCGCCUUACGGGAAAC